AGAUUGAUCAGUUUCAUCGGAAUGAGGCCAUUUCAGCCGUUGCUGAUGAUGGUUUCUUGGGCGAAGACGAGGAUGAAUAUGAAGACCUGUAUAACGAUGUUAAUGUUGGGGAGGGGUUCCUUCAGUCGUUGAGGAAGAACGAUGAUUUAGGAUUCAAGAGCGAGGAGGAGCCCAAGAUGGAGCCUCCUGCACCUGUACCACCCAGUUCCGGUGCUUCCAUACCUGGUGUUGGUGGAGCUGAAGUUGCUGGUU
rnacentral:misc_RNA from 1 species